GGGUUGUGAGGUUAAGCGACUAAGCGUACACGGUGGAUGCCCUGGCAGUCAGAGGCGAUGAAGGACGUGCUAAUCUGCGAAAAGCGUCGGUAAGGUGAUAUGAACCGUUACAGCCGGCGAUGUCCGAAUGGGGAAACCCAGUGCAAUUCGUUGCACUAUCGUUAACUGAAUACAUAGGUUAACGAGGCGAACCGGGGGAACUGAAACAUCUAAGUACCCCGAGGAAAAGAAAUCAACCGAGAUUCCCCCAGUAGCGGCGAGCGAACGGGGAGCAGCCCAGAGUCUGAAUCAGCUUGUGUGUUAGUGGAACGGUCUGGAAAGUCCGACGGUACAGGGUGAUAGUCCCGUACACCAAAAUGCACAGGCUGUGAACUCGAAGAGUAGGGCGGGACACGUGGUAUCCUGUCUGAAUAUGGGGGGACCAUCCUCCAAGGCUAAAUACUCCUGACUGACCGAUAGUGAACCAGUACCGUGAGGGAAAGGCGAAAAGAACCCCGGCGAGGGGAGUGAAAAAGAACCUGAAACCGUGUACGUACAAGCAGUGGGAGCACCUUCGGGUGUGACUGCGUACCUUUUGUAUAAUGGGUCAGCGACUUAUAUUCUGUAGCAAGGUUAACCGUAUAGGGGAGCCGCAGGGAAACCGAGUCUUAACUGGGCGUUAAGUUGCAGGGUAUAGACCCGAAACCCGGUGAUCUAGCCAUGGGCAGGUUGAAGGUUGGGUAACACUAACUGGAGGACCGAACCGACUAAUGUUGAAAAAUUAGCGGAUGACUUGUGGCUGGGGGUGAAAGGCCAAUCAAACCGGGAGAUAGCUGGUUCUCCCCGAAAGCUAUUUAGGUAGCGCCUCGUGAAUUCAUCUUCGGGGGUAGAGCACUGUUUCGGCUAGGGGGUCAUCCCGACUUACCAACCCGAUGCAAACUACGAAUACCGAAGAAUGUUAUCACGGGAGACACACGGCGGGUGCUAACGUCCGUCGUGAAGAGGGAAACAACCCAGACCGCCAGCUAAGGUCCCAAAGUCAUGGUUAAGUGGGAAACGAUGUGGGAAGGCACAGACAGCCAGGAUGUUGGCUUAGAAGCAGCCAUCAUUUAAAGAAAGCGUAAUAGCUCACUGGUCGAGUCGGCCUGCGCGGAAGAUGUAACGGGGCUAAACCAUGCACCGAAGCUGCGGCAGCGACACUAUGUGUUGUUGGGUAGGGGAGCGUUCUGUAAGCCUGCGAAGGUGACCUGUGAGGGUUGCUGGAGGUAUCAGAAGUGCGAAUGCUGACAUAAGUAACGAUAAAGCGGGUGAAAAGCCCGCUCGCCGGAAGACCAAGGGUUCCUGUCCAACGUUAAUCGGGGCAGGGUGAGUCGACCCCUAAGGCGAGGCCGAAAGGCGUAGUCGAUGGGAAACAGGUUAAUAUUCCUGUACUUGGUGUUACUGCGAAGGGGGGACGGAGAAGGCUAUGUUAGCCGGGCGACGGUUGUCCCGGUUUAAGCAUGUAGGCUGGUUAUCCAGGCAAAUCCGGAUAAUCAAGGCUGAGGUGUGAUGACGAGGCACUACGGUGCUGAAGUAACAAAUGCCCUGCUUCCAGGAAAAGCCUCUAAGCAUCAGGUAACAUCAAAUCGUACCCCAAACCGACACAGGUGGUCAGGUAGAGAAUACCAAGGCGCUUGAGAGAACUCGGGUGAAGGAACUAGGCAAAAUGGUGCCGUAACUUCGGGAGAAGGCACGCUGGUGUGUAGGUGAAGUCCCUGCGGAUGGAGCUGAGACCAGUCGAAGAUACCAGCUGGCUGCAACUGUUUAUUAAAAACACAGCACUGUGCAAACACGAAAGUGGACGUAUACGGUGUGACGCCUGCCCGGUGCCGGAAGGUUAAUUGAUGGGGUUAUCCGUAAGGAGAAGCUCUUGAUCGAAGCCCCGGUAAACGGCGGCCGUAACUAUAACGGUCCUAAGGUAGCGAAAUUCCUUGUCGGGUAAGUUCCGACCUGCACGAAUGGCGUAAUGAUGGCCAGGCUGUCUCCACCCGAGACUCAGUGAAAUUGAACUCGCUGUGAAGAUGCAGUGUACCCGCGGCAAGACGGAAAGACCCCGUGAACCUUUACUAUAGCUUGACACUGAACAUUGAGCCUUGAUGUGUAGGAUAGGUGGGAGGCUUUGAAGCGUGGACGCCAGUCUGCGUGGAGCCAACCUUGAAAUACCACCCUUUAAUGUUUGAUGUUCUAACGUUGGCCCCUGACCGGGGUUGCGGACAGUGUCUGGUGGGUAGUUUGACUGGGGCGGUCUCCUCCCAAAGCGUAACGGAGGAGCACGAAGGUUAGCUAAUCCUGGUCGGACAUCAGGAGGUUAGUGCAAUGGCAUAAGCUAGCUUGACUGCGAGCGUGACGGCGCGAGCAGGUGCGAAAGCAGGUCAUAGUGAUCCGGUGGUUCUGAAUGGAAGGGCCAUCGCUCAACGGAUAAAAGGUACUCCGGGGAUAACAGGCUGAUACCGCCCAAGAGUUCAUAUCGACGGCGGUGUUUGGCACCUCGAUGUCGGCUCAUCACAUCCUGGGGCUGAAGUAGGUCCCAAGGGUAUGGCUGUUCGCCAUUUAAAGUGGUACGCGAGCUGGGUUUAGAACGUCGUGAGACAGUUCGGUCCCUAUCUGCCGUGGGCGCUGGAGAAUUGAGGGGGGCUGCUCCUAGUACGAGAGGACCGGAGUGGACGCAUCACUGGUGUUCGGGUUGUCAUGCCAAUGGCA
rnacentral:rRNA from 1 species